rnacentral:rRNA from 1 species
GUCGAGAAUAAUUCACAAUGGACGAAAGUCUGAUGGUGCAACGCCGCGUGGAGGAUGACGGUCUUCGGAUUGUAAACUCCUGUCAUCCGGGAGUAAGACCUGGCUGUGAAUAGCAGACAGGGUUGAUAGUACCGGAAGAGGAAGGGACGGCUAACUUCGUGCCAGCAGCCGCGGUAAUACGAAGGUCCCGAGCGUUGUUCGGAAUCACUGGGCGUAAAGGGAGCGUAGGCGGCGUGGUAAGUCAGAUGUGAAAACCCGGGGCUCAAACCCGGAAAUGCAUCCGAUACUGCCGUGCUAGAGGAUUGGAGAGGUAGCUGGAAUUCUUGGUGUAGCAGUGAAAUGCGUGGAGAUCAAGAGGAACACUCGUGGCGAAAGCGAGCUACUGGACAAUAUCUGACGCUGAGGCUCGAAGGCCAGGGUAGCGAAAGGGAUUAGAUACCCUGGUAGUCC